rnacentral:rRNA from 1 species
GUAACGGCCCAACAAGCCUGUAAUCGGUACGGGUUGUGGGAGCAAGAGCCCGGAGAUGGAUUCUGAGACAUGAAUCCAGGCCCUACGGGGCGCAGCAGGCGCGAAAACUUUACAAUGCGGGAAACCGUGAUAAGGGAACCCCGAGUGCCCGUAGAAUCGGGCUGUUGAUCUGUGUAAAAAGCAGGUAAAGAAAGGGCCGGGCAAGACCGGUGCCAGCCGCCGCGGUAAUACCGGCGGCUCGAGUGGUGGCCACUAUUACUGGGCUUAAAGCGUUCGUAGCUGGGUUGUUAAGUCUCUUGGGAAAUCCACCGGCUCAACCGAUGGGCGACCAGGGGAAACUGGCAUUCUAGGGACCGGGAGAGGUGAGAGGUACUCCAGGGGUAGGAGUGAAAUCCUGUAAUCCUUGGGGGACCACCGAUGGCGAAGGCAUCUCACCAGAACGGCUCCGACAGUGAGGAACGAAAGCUGGGGGAGCAAACCGGAUUAGAUACCCGGGUAGUCCCAGCUGUAAACGAUGCGCGUUAGGUGUAUCGGUGACCACGAGUUACCGAGGUGCCGAAGGGAAACCGUGAAACGCGC